GACGAACGCUGGCGGCGUGCUUAACACAUGCCAGUCGAACGGAAAGGCCCUGCUUUUGUGGGGUGCUCGAGUGGCGAACGGGUGAGUAACACGUGAGUAACCUGCCCUUGACUUUGGGAUAACUUCAGGAAACUGGGGCUAAUACCGGAUAGGAGCUCCUGCUGCAUGGUGGGAGUUGGAAAGUUUCGGCGGUUGGGGAUGGACUCGCGGCUUAUCAGCUUGUUGGUGGGGUAGUGGCUUACCAAGGCUUUGACGGGUAGCCGGCCUGAGAGGGUGACCGGCCACAUUGGGACUGAGAUACGGCCCAGACUCCUACGGGAGGCAGCAGUGGGGAAUAUUGCACAAUGGGCGGAAGCCUGAUGCAGCAACGCCGCGUGCGGGAUGACGGCCUUCGGGUUGUAAACCGCUUUCGCCUGUGACGAAGCGUGAGUGACGGUAAUGGGUAAAGAAGCACCGGCUAACUACGUG
rnacentral:rRNA from 1 species